GACGAACGCUGGCGGCGUGCUUAACACAUGCAAGUCGAACGGUGAACCAGAGCUUGCUCUGGGGAUCAGUGGCGAACGGGUGAGUAACACGUGGGCAACCUGCCCAGACUCUGGGAUAACCUCGGGAAACCGAUGCUAAUACCGGAUACGACCACUUCGGACAUCCGACGGUGGUGGAAAGUUUUCGGUCUGGGAUGGGCCCGCGGCCUAUCAGCUAGUUGGUGGGGUAAUGGCCUACCAAGGCGACGACGGGUAGCCGGCCUGAGAGGGCGACCGGCCACACUGGAACUGAGACACGGUCCAGACUCCUACGGGAGGCAGCAGUGGGGAAUAUUGCACAAUGGGCGAAAGCCUGAUGCAGCGACGCCGCGUGAGGGACGACGGCCUUCGGUUGUAAACCUCUUUCAGCAGGGACGAAGCGAAAGUGACUGUACCUGCAGAAGAAGCACCGGCUAACUACGUGCCAGCAGCCGCGGUAAU
rnacentral:rRNA from 1 species